rnacentral:lncRNA from 1 species
UUGAUUGAUGCGUUACAAAUGAUUGGUAUCCCUUUUAUAUGGUAGAGGAAUCCUGAAUAAGGUACAAUUCUAAUUGAAGUAGGGAAUCUUAUUAUACAACUGUCUAACUGCCUAGCUUUAUAUGGUAGAGUAAUCCUGAAUAAGGUACAAUUCUAAUUGAAGUAGGGAAUAACCUUAUUAUACAACUGUCUAACCGCCUAGUACAUAUCCAUUCUAAAAUUUACACCGUGAUCUUAGAACCACUACGGGAAUCUUGCUCUUUCUGUUGUGAAAACAUAACGGUAUUAUCUCGAGGUUGAUCAUACUUGGCCUCGGUGUUCAUCGACCACUUCAAUAUUCAAGUCUUGUACUUCACCAUCGGGCUCGAGCCCGGUCCAUUUCGAACUUGCUCUCGAAGCGACCCCCUUGAGCCUACUGAAUCAGGCGUACCUAAUUUCAACCAUAUACAAGGUUACAACCACAUUCAUAAGGGAACGAGGAACGCAAAACUAUUUCUUGCUAAGUAACUUCCUAGAAAGCAUUCCGAAAGCGGCGGGGAUUGCCAGCAAUUUUAAGCAUUAAUGAGCGGCAACUGUUCUUUUGCCUGGAGAUAGUAGAUAGUAAGGCCCAACACAUUCUCUAGGAUCCCUCAAAAGUUAAUUGAAGAUGAGAAACAAUUUGACUUGGACGUGGAAAUAGUAGAGUUUGGAGGGUUGGUUGAGAAACAAAAAUGCAGAGUCAGUUAGUGGGUUGGUUGAGAAACAUCGAUAAUGGAUUGUUAAAAAAGAGAGUAAAGCAAAUCACGACAGAAAUAUAUUACAAUUAACCUUAACUAAGUUAUAUCAAUCGUGUUAAAUCAAGCAACAAAGUCUCACUGGAUCAGAAGAUUACAAAUUUUCAGCUUCAGUUCCAACCAAGACAAAGACUGCACAACUUUUAGUUUCUUUGAAAUGAACCAAUUAGCUUCUUACGAGGAAAUCCUUCAACUGACCAGAAUUUACACCGCUCUUUCAGCUGUUGCCCUCAAAGUCCUUUGUUGAGUGCUUGACAACAAAGAUCAAAAGAUCUCCAUUAGAUAGAGUGUCAACAAUGACAAUUAGUGAAACUGAAACUGCAAGAUAAGCAAAGAUGACUUCAGAAUUAGCACAAGUUUCUGCAAUUUGCAUCUGGAUGGCUAUAGAAAGAGUACUGAUCGUGAGGAGAUUGCACUACAGAUUAGCUGUGACAUGGAACUCCAGGAAGUAGCAAAUCAAGAGGAGAUGCCUGGAAACAGAUAUCCAGGGUGCAGCGGCUUCAGCAAGGAGAUAAGAAUACCAGUUUAUUUCCAAAAGAUGGCCAAUAUUCGCAGGGAAUAUAAUCACAUCGACAGGCAGAAAACAAAUGAUAGAAUCAUUGUUGAAACAUAGGAAAUCACAACUAUUAAAGAGUUAAAUAAGAAUUUAUACAGGGAAUCUGAAAGGGGGAGACCUGGUUCAAGCAGGCAAUAUCUCUCACCUGUCAGUGGAAGAGCAAACUUUCUUUAGGGUCCGUUCUCUGAGGAACAAGUUUUUCCUAAUUGAACCAUAAAGCAAAGAGUACGAUUCUCCUAUGCCAUCCAAAACAAACUCCAAAAUGCCCCCACAAGCAUCACUACCCCAAGCUCUCUCCUCUCUUUGUGGCUUCUAUACAAG